rnacentral:rRNA from 1 species
GGUAAACGCUGGCGGCGUGCCUAAAACAUGCAAGUCGAACGCGUACCUUCGGGUGCGAGUGGCAGACGGCUGAGUAACGCGUGGGUGACGUACCUAUUGGUGGGGAAUAACUGCCCGAAAGGGUGGCUAAUUCCGCAUACGCCUGCUUCUGCGUUGAAGUAGGGAAAGUCGCAAGACGCCGAUGGAGCGGCCCGCGUUCGAUUAGCUAGCUGGUGGGGUAACGGCCUACCAGGGCGACGAUCGAUAGCUGGUCUUAGAGGAUGAUCAGCCAGACUGGGACUGAGACACGGCCCAGACUCCUACGGGAGGCAGCAGUUAGGAAUUUUGGGCAAUGGGCGCAAGCCUGACCCAGCAACGCCGCGUGGGUGACGAAGGCCUUCGG